rnacentral:rRNA from 1 species
AUUGAACGCUGGCGGCAGGCCUAACACAUGCAAGUCGAACGAGCGGCGGACGGGUGAGUAAUGUCUGGGAAACUGCCUGAUGGAGGGGGAUAACUACUGGAAACGGUAGCUAAUACCGCAUACCAUCAGAUGUGCCCAGAUGGGAUUAGCUAGUUGGUGGGGUAACGGCUCACCAAGGCGACGAUCCCUAGCUGGUCUGAGAGGAUGACCAGACACACUUGACCGUGGACACGGUCCAGACUCCGACGGGAGGCAGCAGUGGGGAAUAUGGCACAAUGGGCGCAAGCCUGAUGCAGCCAUGCCGCGUGUGUGAAGAAGGCCUUCGGGUUGUAAAGUACUUUCAGCGAGGAGGCGUUACUCGCAGAAGAAGCACCGGCUAACUCCGUGCCAGCAGCCGCGGUAAUUC